CACGCUGAUACAACAGUUUGAGUUUCAGAUGAGAUGCAAAGUAAUUUCCUACAGUCUGCUCCAACUCUCUUCAUGUUCCGCGCAAAUUCGGCCAAACAUGCAGUCCAGUUGACAAUGAUCGCAACAAAAAAGAAGAAACUGCACUGAUAACUGUUAGGGUAAAGUCACCAGUGCAAUCUAGAGCAGGCUGGAUGCAGUUUGAGGGUUUGCUGAAGAUCGUAGAUCAGUUUCAGAUAUCUCAGCCUGCGACAACAGGAAACGAGAGAAAAAGCGCCACUCACACAACUGAAACCUGCCUCCAUGAAGCUUUGACCCCUCCAUGUUCAGUCUUUGAACUGAGGCGAUGGAGAGCCCACCAUCCACAGUGAGGCGGAGAGCCUGGAUCAACAGCCACCGACAGCGCUCCACUCUGGAGCUGGACCCUGAGGGGCCGCUGGGCAACAUCCCCUCUGCCUCUGUAGCAGACGAUGACGUGUUUUCUGACGGAUGCUUUACUGGAAAGAUUGAGAACUGGCUGCAGGGUUGUGGGUCAGAGUCCUGUUCAGAGACAACGGAUCAGCUGAGUUUUGAGUCUGUGCUGAAAAGCAGCAAGUUUGACGAUGAACUUAGUCUUGGUGCCGAUGCGUCUUUGUUAAAUGGUGUCAAGAUUACAUCUAAAGCUUGCCCCGGCAGACUCACCAGCACCCCUCGUAAGGAACUAUGUCUGCCGAAACUAAACUUGGGCCACAGCAUGGCCUCCAGCUGCGUCUCCUCCUCCACUUAUAAAACUACAUCAAGUAUAUCAGAGGUCCUACAGUUGUGCUCUGAGGAUGCAGAGGAGACGCUUUAUGAGCUUGGUUUUGGCCGUGACGAGCCUCAGGUCACUGUCCGCAUCCCUCCUCGCUUCUUCAAUUUCCCUUCUCCGUCUCGGGGCAUCAACUUCCGGCUUUUCCUGGACUCACAGAUACGGCGAAUACGAGAGGAAGACCCAAGCCUCUCUCUUGCUAGUCGCUUCAGACAAGUGCAAGUCCUCACAGCAAUGGCCAACGCUUUCUACUCCCUCUACUCUCACGUGUCCCGCACUCCUCUACAAAAACUGGCCACACCAGAGUUCACCUUCUCCUCGUCUCCUGUGGAGAAGAUCGAGCGUUUCAGAGGCAGCAUCCGCAGCGAGGUGCGCUCUCCAGUGGAGAGGCUGAAGGACACCGUCUCCAAGAUGUGUCUUUACACAGGCUCUCCUCGUGGGUCAGACUCCACCUCUCCACAGCCCUCACCCAUAAAAAGGUCCAGCCUCCCUGAUGUUGUGGAUAUAGUCCUGGAGAAACACAAGAGUGGGGCUACAAAGAAACUGGAUUUGGGGGAAUAUAAUAAGAUAGCUGUGGUUGCCAGGCUAGUCACAGAUGAUGAUAAAUCCAGUGACAGCGGGAAAGAUGCGCAAAACCAGCAAAGCAACGAGGACGAGGAUGUUCUUCUAAAGGAAAAUACAACUUUUCAUAAGAUGCAGGGAUGCAAACAAACAGAUAAUGUUGAUACAGAUGAAAACAGUGUCGAACCAGCAGACCUUGACAGCAGGACUCAACAUGUAAGAACAUCUCUAGCGUCAUCAGCAUCGGGAGAAACUGUGAUAGAAACAGAGCUGGACUCAUGUGCCUCUCAAAGUGAGACUGGCACUGCUGAUCUGAAACCAGUUGCCAAGAUGACAUACGAACUAAUCUGCCCGCAGAUAGUUGAGAGUGUACACCAGGCGUCUUUCUGUUGUCAACAGACAAAUAGUCCAAUAACAAACACUUGUAUCUUCUCUGAGACAGUAAUUAUAGAUGGAUCACAUGAACCCGAUAUACAAAUAUCUAUCCCUGAGCCUGACACAAGACAGACUCAGGCAUCAGGAUCAGUUCCUGUCCUGGCCCCCUAUGGAGACCCCACCCAGAGCUGCAUCACUGUGACUGGCUGGGAGGGGGACGGCAUCUCUCCUCAUUCCUCAAAUGCAACAGAUGCCGGUCAUGCUUCUACUGUAAUGCCUCUGCCGAAAUGUGAGGAGUCAUUUAACAAGGGGAAAAGCCUGUACCUGAAUCCACUGACCCAUCACAGCCUGGGGCACAACUCCCACCACCUGCAACAGGUUAACUCCUUCGAGCUGGAGGAGGUGCAUAGUGCAGGAGAGGAAGAUUUUGUUAAAUCCGAAGCAACAAGAACAACCCCCCUGUUGUCCAAAGGUGAGGUGGUCCGGGGCGACAGCAUGCAGUCAGACAGCAGCGGUUAUGCAGAUGAAGAAGUUAGCCCGUCAUCAAACAUACAUAACAGAUGACGGAAAGAACAGAACAUUGAAACAACUCACCUGUUGACUCUUUCCUUCACCAAAUGUUGUUUCCAAACAAAGGCUUAAGAUGUGAUGGUCAUGGUGAACUCCUUGCGGUGUGCUGGACCAGACUCCUGGGUGACUGUGUACUCUGGCAAACGCCAUCCUUUCUGCACCACCAAUUCCUGGAAGAAAUAGCUCCUACAGGGUUACAUUCAGACUGCUGAGAACUGCUUGAAGUCUUCAUUUCUGUCUGAGAGCUGUACGGAAGAGAAGGGAAGUAAUGAAACCACAUAGACUUAUAUCUUAAAUUCACUCUAUUCUUAGAAUACUGAGAUGAUAUAUCAGCUGACGCUAACACACAUGUCUAUUUUAAAGGUCCCCUAUUAUGCUACUUUGUCAGGUUCAUAUAUGUAUUUUGUUGCUCCACUAGAGCAUGUUUUCAUGCUUUAAUGUUGAAAAGGCGCUUUAUUUUCCUCACAUUGAAUGUGCAUAAAGUACCACUUUUCACUCCUUCUGAUAAAGCUCUGAAGAGCUCAAUGCCUCCACCUUUGCAAAAGCGCACUCUGCUCAAAUUGGUUAGCUGGCAAAUCUGCUGUGAUUGGUCAACCGCUUAGAGAUUUGUCAAAUGUCCUGCCCCUGAAAAAACCUGUGGAAAAGUGGCAUCGCUUGUUGUGCCGUACCGGUUUAUUACAAAUAAAUAAUGAUGGAUUAUCAGUAACCAUUUCAAAGUGACACAGAGACAUUGGAUGAACCUUCAGCAGCAUUUGUAUGCCCUUGAACACAACUUUUUAUCACAAACAGCAAACGUAAGAUGUGAUAAUAGUUAUGGCUCUGUAAAGUGUAGCGGUUUUCUUUCUCUUUCUUGGCUGCUAGUUCAGUGAGUUUUGGUCGUACGUCGAUAAGUGGUUUUGCAGAUAGGUGCUAUGUAGCGUUAGCUCAUUUUUGUUCAGUGCUGAUUUAGACGCUUGGUGUUGGAGUUGUGUUUCAUUUUGGUAAAAAUGGUUAAUAUGGUCUGGUAGCUGAGUUUCUUCCGUUAAGUGGGUAUGCCCCCGCUCGGGCUUAAUUGUGAAUGAAAAACUUUCACAAUGUUUCAGAAUGUGAAAUGUCGAGAACACAACCAUAAUUUGGGUUUUUGCUCCAGGGGAAUAGUGGUAAAAAUAAAUGCAAGCCACUUGUUCUUCACAUCUUCUUCCUCUGGUAUGGCAACCCAUACCAUAUAUACACCAUGGUUUGCAGCUAAAGUGGCAGCGUCUCCUCGCCAUGGCUCCUCCGCUCGGGUUGGCUUUAGCGUUGUUGAAGCUCUAGCGGCUCGCACUGCUAUUGGCUAGAAUUCAGUUCCGUAUCAGGUGACGUCAGUUUGAUACGGAACUGAACCAAGAAGUAAAGAAAGGAAUCCAAUAGAGGCGUUUCAGGCAGGGGGGAGGGAUAUGGGAGAGAAUCUCCCUCUAGCCUGAACUUUGGGAUUUUAGCUUUUGCCGAUCUAUUACAUGCACACAAACAUAAAUAACACACUACAGGAAGGGGAAAACCCCAAAAAAGCAUAACAUGGGACCUUUAACUAAAGAGAAAGUGCAAAGAACUAAAAUAAAAAAUGUUUUAUAAGAAACUGACCUCUCUCCAUCAGUAGACACUUCAACUCCAAUAAACCCGUCUUCUCCAACACUAACUCCAACAGGACCUCCGAGACUUCCCUUGAGCAUCUUCAGAGCAGCCUCGGCUGCUUUAUGCUUGGCUGCCUUCUUGCUGGGCCCUUGGCCGGUGCAGCUGAUCUCUCCAACGGAGACACGGAACGUAAAGUUGGGCUGGUGGGCCUGUCCCUCGGCCUUCAGCAGGUCAUACACUGGGGUCUUGCCUAUCCGCGUUCCAUACUCCUGCAGCAGACUGAUGGGCGUCUUUCCGGGAUUCACAGCCAGCAUUUGCUCAAUACUUAACAAAAGAAAAAGCGAGCAUGAGAUGCACUGUUAAACAACUGUUGAUUAAAUUUGGAAAGGGCGUUAGAAAAUUGUGUCGAUCAUACACGAUCAUAAACGUUUCUUAGCAUGCAUUGUAUAAUUCAGAAAUGUCAUGAUAAUUUCACAUUAUUUGUAUUGAAUGCUGUCAUUUUUGCACUAAGGCUAGUCUAACUGAAUAUUUAACUCACCCAAAUUAUAAAAGGUUUUAAGGUAUCCAAGCUAAUAUAAAACAAUCCCUUUUCCAAAUGCAUUGGCUUUGCAGUAAUGCCAGAAACAAUGUCCAGCUUACACAAAUUGAUUCAACUUACUGAAUGUAACUAUUACCUCAAAUUGUGGCAAUGGAAAUCUCAGCAUCUCAACUGUAAAUCUAAAGUCAAUAAAAUAAAAAACAACAACAUCAUGACUACAUAUAAUGGAGAUUGGUUUAGGUGAGGUUACACAAAUAUGCAAAUAUUCAAGUUUGUCCGGUCAGCCCAACAUGGUUGUAAGUACACUCAAUUAUCUGUUUAUUAGAUACACCUACUGUUGCUCAAAUUCAUGCAGUCUAACACAACAGUCCUCUACCUUUGUUCUGUUUGUGUGAGCUUGAUUGAAAUGCAUGCUCAUUUUGCUGGAUGCAGGUUGUG